rnacentral:misc_RNA from 1 species
AACGCACAUUGCGCCCCUUGGUAUUCCGAGGGGCAUGCCUGUUCGAGCGUCAUUACAACCCUCAAGCUCUGCUUGGUAUUGGGCUCCGUCCUCACUGCGGACGCGCCUCGAAGACCUCGGCGGUGGCUGUUCGGCCCUCAAGCGUAGUAGAAUACACCUCGCUUUGGAGCGGUCGGCGUCGCCUGCCGGACGAACCUUCUGAACUUUUCUCAAGGUUGACCUCGGAUCAGGUAGGGAUACCCGCUGAACUUAA